rnacentral:rRNA from 1 species
CCAGACUCCUACGGGAGGCAGCAGUGGGGAAUAUUGCACAAUGGGGGAAACCCUGAUGCAGCGACGCCGCGUGAGCGAUGAAGUAUUUCGGUAUGUAAAGCUCUAUCAGCAGGGAAGAAGAUGACGGUACCUGACUAAGAAGCCCCGGCUAACUACGUGCCAGCAGCCGCGGUAAUACGUAGGGGGCAAGCGUUAUCCGGAUUUACUGGGUGUAAAGGGAGCGUAGACGGUCCUGCAAGCCAGAUGUGAAAGACCGGGGCUCAACCCCGGGACUGCAUUUGGAACUGUAAGGCUAGAGUGUCGGAGAGGCGGGCGGAAUUCCUAGUGUAGCGGUGAAAUGCGUAUAUAUUAGGAGGAACACCAGUGGCGAAGGCGGCUUACUGGACUGUAACUGACGUUGAGGCUCGAAAGCGUGGGGAGCACACAGGAUUAGACACCCCCGUAC